GACGAACGCUGGCGGCGUGCUUAACACAUGCAAGUCGAGCGGAAAGGUCCUGCUUUUGUGGGUUUCUCGAUUGCCGAACGGGUGAGUAUCACGUGCGUAACCUGUCCCUGUCUUUGUGAUAACUCCUGGAAACUGCGGCUAAUACCGCAUAUGAUCUCCUGCUGCAUGUUGGGGUUGGAUGGUUUCGGCGGUUGGUGAUGGACUCGCGGCUUAUCAGCUUGUUGGGGGAGGAGUGGCAUACCACGGCUUUGACGGGUAGCCGGCCUGAGAGGGUGACCGGCGACAUGGGGACUGAGGUAGGGCCCAGACUCCAACGGGCGGCAGCAGUGGAGAGUAUUGCACAGUAGCGGGAAGCGUGUUGCAGAGACGCCGCGUGCGGGAUGACGGCCUACGAGUUGUAAACCACUUUCGCAUGUGACGAAGCGUGAGUGACGGUAAUGGGUAAAGAAGCACCGGCUAACUACGUG
rnacentral:rRNA from 1 species